rnacentral:lncRNA from 1 species
CAAUACCCCUAUUUUUACAAAGUAUGCAUGAAUGGAAAAAACACAUUUUCCUCCUGUAAAUAGGUUCUGUUCAGAUGGCUGGUGAGAAAGGAAGAUAGAUGCCUUCAAUGCUGAGUUUUUCCAUCCUCCUUGUCAUCCUCUGUUGGAAGGAAGAAAGGACCAGUUCUUUUCUCCUCUUCUCGGGAAGCUCUACCUAA